rnacentral:lncRNA from 1 species
GCGCCGUUGGGGCUUAAAAUUAAAAAAAUUGUUCCCCGAGAGCCAAAAAAACACUCGGGGAAGGCGCUCUUUCCCGAAUGCUGAAUCCGGACACUCGGGGAAAAUACUGGCUUCCCCGAGUGCUGCGGUCCUGGCACUCGGGGAAGAGGCCCUUCCCUGAGAGCCAAGAAAGGCACUCGGAGAAGUUUUUUGUUUUUUUUUGUUUUUUGUCCCAGUUUUUUCUGAUGCCUUCCCACAUUAUUUCAAACUUCUUGUUCAAAUUUGGGGAUAUUUAAACUUCUUUAAGUAUAUUUCAUUUGUUUUUUACGUUUCAUUGAUUUUUUUUGCAAACUUCAAAUUUGAACUGCAGGUGCAUUAAAUAAUGGAAUUUCUUUAUUCAAAAAAUGAUAUUCUCGAUAUUUGGUUUAUGCUAAGACCGUAUCCAAAACCUCAAAUGAAAUGUGAAACAUCUUGUUGUCGUAACAUAAGAUACAACUUGCGGAAAAAGUGUUUUUAAAUUAUAUAAAAUUCGUAAAAAAUCCAAAAAUCAAAAAACUUGUCUGGGCGUCAUUUUAUCACA